rnacentral:rRNA from 1 species
AUUGAACGCUGGCGGCAGGCCUAACACAUGCAAGUCGAACGAGCGGCGGACGGGUGAGUAAUGUCUGGGAAACUGCCCGAUGGAGGGGGAUAACUACUGGAAACGGUAGCUAAUACCGCAUACCAUCGGAUGUGCCCAGCUGGGAUUAGCGAGUAGGUGGGGUAACUGCUCACCUAGGCGACGAUCCCUAGCUGGUCUGAGAGGAUGACCCGCCACACUGGAACUGAGACACGGUCCAGACUCCUACGGGAGGCAGCAGUGGGGAAUAUUGCACAAUGGGCGCAAGCCUGAUGCAGCCAUGCCGCGUGUAUGAAGAAGGCCUUCGGGUUGUAAAGUACUUUCAGCGAGGAGGCGUUACUCGCAGAAGAAGCACCGGCUAACUCCGUGCCAGCAGCCGCGGUAAUAC